UACGGGGGGGGCAAGCGUUGUUCGGAAUUACUGGGCGUAAAGGGCGCGUAGGCGGUUGGAUAAGUCAGCUGUGAAAACCACGAGCUCAACUUGUGGCCUGCAGUUGAAACUGUCUGGCUAGAGUGUGGGAGAGGGAAGUGGAAUUCCUGGUGUAGCGGUGAAAUGCGCAGAUAUCAGGAAGAACACCCGUGGCGAAGGCGGUUCUCUGGGACGGUACUGACGCUGAGACGCGAAAGCGUGGGGAGCGAACAGG
rnacentral:rRNA from 1 species